rnacentral:sRNA from 12 species
AGGUAAUAUGUGAACUGUCUCCGUAUGGUGGCUUGCCCUUCGGCUAGUAUAUUACCUUGGA